UAAAAGCCAGAAGCGUGCGGCGGUCUAAAAUUACAUCGACGUGAUGGUGAUUUGCAGCUCGGUGGAUUUAAUUGGACAACAGCACAUCUUGAUCGGCGAGGCGUUCACUUCGCCGUCGGCUCGCCUUCCUUGCGUCACAUGAACGAGCAUGAAAGCUUUACAGUAAACACGUUGGCGGGAAAGACGGUGCCUCAUUAAGCCGAACCGUGGAUGCGGAAAGGCGCGUCUUUCGCCGUGGCAACCAUUCUCUUCUUCAUUCACAACCUCCCGGGAGUUGGGAUCAUCCCCCCCUGGCCCCCGGACUCCCUUCCACGAGCAGUCCAUGAGUCAGAAUGUGCUACAUGAACACAUACAGUAUUCACCAGGAGAGGAGAAAAGACGCCAAUAAAAGGUGGAGCCGCUCACCCCCUCCCUCGGUGGAUGAAUGAAUGAAUGGAGGUACUAUUGGUCAGCUCGCGGUGGAAAAUACGAGGAGCAGAGAGCAGGUUUCGGUGAGAAAAUGGUGGUAAUAAGUCGGCUCUUACCGGAGACAUGAGCGGAGCUUGCGUCCUCCUGCUGCUGUCAAAGAGGCAGCUGUGACUUUCUGGGCUCCUCCAUGGCUUCCAUCAGACUUUCAGGUGGUCCUUGGCUAAGGCCUAGUACCUGACUACCCAGGGAUACGGUGAAGACCUCAACGACCGAACGGGUGGAAGACGGUAGAUGUAAGAACUACCACAACGGCUGCGAUGGCGGAAGAAGGCUGCAGCAGAAAAGGGUCCCCAGUCGUCUUGGACUCCAUGCCACUGGACCCUGACCCGAUUCUAUCAAGGAUGGUGUGGUGACUGUCUGAGCACCAGUCUCACCACGUUAAACAAAGUCACACACAGGUUUUCUCCAUAAAGGGAUACACCCCUACCAGGAGGAUCGUCAUACCGUCAACGAUGAUGCCACCCUGGAGAAGUCGCCACCUCAUCGCCGGGCCAACCGAUAUAGAAAGACAACAUUCACACACUAGGGACUAUUUAGUGUUGCCAAUCAACCUAUCCCGAGGUGCAUGUCUUUGGAAGUGGGAGGAAGCCGGAGUACCCAGAGGGAACCCACGCAGUCACGGGGAGAACAUGCAAACUCCACACAGAGAGAUCCCGAGACCGGAAUUGAACUCGGGACCUUCGUAUUGUGAGGCACAUGCACUCACAACCCCUGUGUAACCGUGCAUCUACAUCAACUAUGUGAUUUGCCUGAGAAGUUGGACAGGACAAAAUAAAUAAAUAGAUAAAUAAAAUAAAAUAGAAUAAAAUAAAAUAGAAUCAAAUAAAAAAUAUAAGUGAAUAAAUGUAUAUAUGCAUAAAAAUGUGUUUUCUUUUGUUUAUAUGUAUAUAUUUUUUAAUGAAUUAGGUAAUGUUUAUGACAACCUUUUUGCGAUGGGAUGCGACGUGGAGGUGUCGGUUUCCCUGAUCUAUUGGACAGCCACCGGAAGACCUUGUCAUGACCCCGAGAUCUACAAAGCAGAGAAGGAGCAGAACCUGAAACCGCUCCAGGCACCUUGUCUUUAAACUGUUUAUGACCGAGGGCAUUAGCUGUUUAUGACCCCCUCCCCUUAGAAACAGCUGCAGCCAUGUAAUCAGGAAAUGCUCGAAUAAACGAGGAGGCUUGGAUCUCCCUCCUCCGAGGGUACAAGUGCA